rnacentral:rRNA from 1 species
AUUGAACGCUGGCGGCAGGCCUAAAACAUGCAAGUCGAGCGAGCGGCGGACGGGUGAGUAAUGUAUGGGGACUGCCCGAUAGAGGGGGAAAACUACUGGAAACGGUAGCUAAUACCGCAUACCAUCGGAGAAACCAUAUGGGAUUAGCUAGUAGGGGCGGUAAUGGCGCAACUAGGCGACGAUCCCUAGCUGGUCUUAGAGGAUGAUCAGCCACACUGGGACUGAGACACGGCCCAGACUCCUCGGGGGGCAGCAGUUGGGAAGAUUGCACAAUGGGGGCAAGCCUGAUGCAGCCAUGCCGCGUGUAUGAAGAAGGCCCUAGGGUUGUAAAGUACUUUCAGUCGGGAGGCGUUACCGACAGAAGAAGCACCGGCUAACUCCGUGCCAGCAGCCGCGGUAAUUC